CCCUAGUCACCAUAAUGCUACGGUACAUAUGAUUUGUUCAUGGUGAAGGAGAUCUGACAUUUUGGUAUUAAACAUCCUUUUUUUAAUCAUCUUAACCUAUUUUGAUCAAGUCAUGACCUUUUUCAUGAUGUUCUGAUCUGUUAUGACACACCUGUAUUCAGUUUUUUACUCUACAUAGCAAGACCUGUGAUUUUUUUUAUGCAAUAAAGUUUGUUUUUUACUCAUAAUAACCUGAGAACCCAACGUGUUUUUUGGCAGACGUAGUUCAGGAACUUUUAUGUAUGAAUUUAAUUUUCAUCGCAUGGAGUAAUUUCAUUUUAAUAAAAGUGUCAACACGUCCAAACCCCUGCAAAUCCCACUUACACCAGGACAAAUAAAAAGCAAUUUUCACUUUGCCAUGGUGCCCUGGUUACCCAUCAUGGUUUAAAGUACAGACUGUGACUCAUGACGUUUUCAGUCCAGGUCCAGCUGUGGACCCACUCUCCGUUUGUCCUUUGCUCCUAUUUCUCUGCAUGAAUUAGCUCACACAUAUGCACACACACACACACACACACACACACACACACACACACACACACACACACACACACACACACACACACACACACACACACACACACACACACGGGCACAACAACAAAACUUUAAAAUAACAAAAUAUCUCAGUCUCUCGCUGCAGCUGAAAUCCUGGGACUGUUUUUGUUUUGCAGUAGAGAGGACUGAGUUUGCAGAAGAAACAGAGUGUCGAAGAAAUGGAAAGUGGCCUUUGGGGAUGAUGUGUUGCCGUAUAAGUUUUUUGCAUAAGAAAAAGAAGUAAAGAGAGUUUUUUAAGGUCAACAGAAAUAUCACAAAAUCAUCAUGCUUACUCUUUUAACACAGACUUACCUUUUACUUAGGAGCUCAGCCUGCUGCCAAUUAAUAUAAAAAUAAAAAAAAGACAGAAACUCAAGGAUGAACUGGAUUUCUCUCGGGUUAGGACAUUAAGUUUUUACAUGAAAUCUGCCUGUGAUGGG